rnacentral:lncRNA from 1 species
UGAUAGGGAAAGGGAAAAAAAAGUAAUAUGGCUAUCAGGAGCACUGGAAUUAGGGGGCUGGGCAAGAGCCAACAGGUUUAACACUGGCCAAUAGUUACUACUUAGCAUGCUCACAUGCAAGAUGAAUCUCAAAGCAAAGCAAACAGGACACUGGCUUACUGCUUCUAAAAAUUACCCUUGAUCAAGGGUAACCGGGCAACUCCACUGACUUACAGCCACAAGAGAAUGGAAAACAUACCAGGAAUGUGGGGAUUCCCUUAAGUGUGAUUCUGGGGGAACUGAGGUCACUUUGAGAGCUGCUUCUAGCUGCACUUUCAUGCCACCAGGGGGGCUAUAUGAAAUAUGUGGUUAUAUUCCUGAUGUCUAUAUUCCGACCUGGAUAUAAUUAACAAACAGCCUAAUGAUGUAUAAUAACUCUGAAGACACACUAAAACAUCCGUCUCAGUCUGGGCAGUGGCAGCACAUCCCUUUCGUCCCAGCACUCAGGAGGCAGAGACAGGGUUUCUCUGUGUAGCCCUGGCUGUUUUGGAUCAGGCUGGCUUUGAGCUCAAAGAUAUUAAAGGAGACAUGAGGGCUGGAGGGUUGACACUUGUUGCCCUUGCAGAGGACCCAGUCAUCCCAGGGGAUCCCUAACCAAGCUGACUAGGGAGACUGGCACCAUCGGCAAGCUCCGGGUUUGAUUGAGAUGCCCUACUACAAUCAAUAAGAUGGGAGAGGAAUUGAGAAUAAUUCCUGACAUCAACCUUGGACCUCCACAUGUGUAGUGAGAGAUUCACCCUGCCUCACCUGUGGUGCUGACCACACCUGUUUGGGCAUGAUCACAGGUGAGCAAGUGGUAUUUGGUCUGGGAUCCUGGACAGGUUUGCUCUCUCUUGGUUCCGGUCAGGUCAUAGUGAGCAGCCUGGGUGUGGCUCCUCGGAGCAGGAACUUGCGGAUCAUCAGUUUCUUAUGUAACUGACUUCUCCCCAAAUAAAUUUAACCUAUAUUUAGCCAAGUCCUGUGUAUCUUAAUCUGUGCAUCCACACACAUGCACUUGUACACAGGUGCACACACAUCCAUUCAUGUGUGCUCAAACACAUGUAAACAUGCACACCACAUACACAUGAAAACGGGGAAAAUACAAUGGGAAAACAGAAAUGCCAGUUAUCCUAGAAAGUGUGCCAGGCUGUCACACGUGACUUUCACUUCCAUUUUCCCCAUAUGCUAC